GUGAGUGAGUCUUCAGCCUUUGAGAAUCCCGGGUCUGCUAUGUGGCCGCAGCAUGGGCUGUGGUACCCAGUGGCAGAGGUGCUGCUUGGAUGGGCCCCAGUGGAAAUAUGGGAGGCAGUAACGGGUCUCCUGCGAGUGUGGAGAAGGCACUGAAGCAGCUGGAAGCUCACAGCACCAAGAAGGAAUGCACCUUCGCUGGCGGAGUCGGAUGAGCAUUUCUGACUGCACUAGGCAGAGUACAUGCUCAGUCCCACAGGUAAGGGACCUCCCAGCGCAAGCCACGUGCCUGGGGGCCCAAGUGCACAGCUUAGACCAGGACCUGGGGGUGGGGGACCUGCAGGCACAAGCAGGGCGCUUGGAGGCCCAGAUAAGCAGCCUGGAACAGGAGUUAGCAAUGGCUGUUAGUGCGAUCUUCAGCCAGUCGUCCCAGUCAGACACUUCUGUUGGAUCUGAUGCUAAGGAGGAGGGGCUCCUUCCCUGCGGGCUCGCCCUGUGAUCCGUCAGAAGGUAGAACAUGAGGAGCCGAUGGGACCCCAGGGGAGAGCCCAGGACCCCCCACAACAGUGGUGGAACACACUUCUUAUAGUGCUUAUACCCCCACUGAGUUGCAGGAGUUGAGUAAACAGUGUUGGCAGCGCCCAGGGGAGCCCCUGCCAGCCUGGCUACUCCGUUUUUGGGAUGAGGGGGCUGAUAGCAUUUCUUGCUCUGCCUCCGAGAUGGAGAAGCUGGCCUCUAUUACAACUCACUCCUCCCUUCGUCAGACACUGCAGCUGUGCCAAUCAUUGGCACACGGGCAAGGUGUGGACAUUAAUAGAGUGGCUGAUGGCAGCCAUAUGGACUGUUUGGAAUGAUGCCAGAGAGAUAUCAAAAAUUGUGAGUAAAUGGCAAUCAUAUUCUGAUUUGGUGCAGGUACUCUGGGAGAUGGGCAGGUGACAGGCUAUGUUUUAUCUGAAUAUCCAGGGGCCAGAACGUUUUACCUCCCACAUGAGGGAUCUUGUGCUGGGCUCAGCGCCCCCGAGUGCUUUUGGCUAGAGUGCUUUUAGCACCCCCAUAUAUGGGGCACCGCAUAUAUGAAGUGACUACUGGCUGAGGUAGUAGACACAACACAGAGAAGCUCCCCACCUGGCUCUCAGCUACUAUUGUUUGUGUAGGGUAUAAAUGUAACGCUGACCCUGUGAGGGGCUGCUGAAUUGGCUUGUAGGCGAUUGGCCCAUUUGGGGCUAAGCGAUGUGGCAAGACCUCUGGGAAAUAGGUCAUCAGAAAUAGGUAACUAUUAUGUGUCAGGUCAUGUGCCUUUGGCCACCCCCUGUAAUGUUGAGGCGGAUGCCUUAGCCAAGGUCUGAUGGUUAGAGUCGGCACCUACACAAGAUGUAGCUUUGUGGCUACACAGGAAACUGGGACAGUUUCUGAACUGAUGUACUGAACUGAUGUAACAGGUCAGUAGGUACUGGGGUCUGUCUUUGCCUUCGCAGGACACUUUGGAGGCCUGCCGGAAGUGCCAGGCAUGCGCCCAGGCAUACCCCAGACGGAGACAGCUGCCCACUGUAACACAGCGAGUGACGUGGUAGAUUGGCGGCUCCAACAGCAUCGUAGACUGGGCCCACACCUACGCCGAGGUGACCAAUGUCUCCAACUGUUGGAUCUGCACCGCCCUUCCAGCAGCAGCUGCAGACAGCUGGCCCUGGCAUGUGCAUCCAGCUUCUGUGAAGAACCGGACAUAGCUAGAGACUUGAGGUCCCACAGACAAUGCGUGGGAUGCAACACAGUGGGCUUUGGAUGGGGGCAUGGCAAACCCCAUGGCGAGCCUGCCCCCUGGCUGACUCGCAGUGUCCAUGAUGAAUGGGGCUGGUUAAUGGGAAACACAUAGUGCCCCCAUUGCAGGUACCAUGAUGUAUAGAGAAGCACUGGGGUAAUGUCACUGUAGGAUGGUUGCCUGCUGAGGUUUGUGCAAAUAAAACAUGUGUCACCACACCAAGGGUGUGGAGGAACAAGCGACCUUACCAAGGCCGGGCCCCCAUGGACUUUGUGCCCCCUGGGAAUUUAUGGGUCUGUGGGGACACAGGAUGGCCAAAUCUGCCAGCCAAUUGGACUGGACGUUGUACCUGGGGGUGGCCUUAUGUGCCUGCCAUCAUGCUUCCCACAUUGCCUAGUUGCCCACAUAAUUGGGAGGCACUGCAUUCCCACUUUUUCUGAGUGCAGGGCACCCCCUGGUGGUUUUAUCCCUUAGCAAUACGUAUCCCUGGAGCAGGUGUCAUUACUUUGGAAAAGCAGGUUACAGCCUUUGCAGAGCACACAGCUGGGGCCCUAAAUUACACCCAAGUUGCUCUCCUUUUGUUAACUAAUGAAGUUGACCAGGUCAGGAAGGUGGUGCUGCAAAACACGAUGGCCUUAGACAUAGCCUUAGACAUGCAAGGACAUAGGUGGCCCCUGUGCCUUGUAGGGACACAAUGUUGUACAUUUAUCCCUGAAAACCACUGGAAUGUAACGGCAGCUUUGCAAGGGGUGUCAUAGGAGAUUAAGGCAAUUGAGCACCUUACUGAUGACCCCCUACAGAGAUGGUGGGCGUCUUUUGGGCUCUGGCCUAUGUUGGGCUCUCAUAAUCAUAAGUAGCAUAGCAGGAUAUUCCUGGUAGGUUGUUGCUCUCUGUGUGGUUGCUGUGGCCUAUGGGUCCAGGGUACUGCCAUAUGUGCACAGGUCCCCACCAAGAGGAUCCCCUUGGCCUAGAGGAUGGAGUGUAAGGAACAUGGCUGUGCUGUAGCCAAGCAGGCAUAGGGCAGCAGGCAUAGGCCAAGGUAAACAGCCUAAAUGACUCAGAGGGAUUGGGGUGCACGCGCACACUCCCAUGUCUCAUACAAUCAUAGCCAUGUAGACACAACAUAGAGAAGCUCCCCACCUGGCUCUCAGUCACUAAUGUCUGUGUAGGUAUAAAUGUAACACUGACCCUGUGAGGGGCUGCUGAAUAAAGCCAUGUCUCAUCUACC
rnacentral:lncRNA from 1 species